UACGUAGGGUGCAGGCGUUAAUCGGAAUUACUGGGCGUAAAGGGCGCGUAGGCGGCCUACUAAGUCAGACGUGAAAUCCCCCCGGCUUAACCUGGGAACUGCGUCUGAUACUGGAAGGCUUGAGUAUGGGAGAGGGAUGUAGAAUUCCAGGUGUAGCGGUGAAAUGCGUAGAUAUCUGGAGGAAUACCGGUGGCGAAGGCGGCAUCCUGGACCAUUACUGACGCGUGAGGCGGCGAAAGCUAGGGAGCAAACGGG
rnacentral:rRNA from 1 species